rnacentral:rRNA from 1 species
AGAUUGAACGCUGGCGGCAGGCCUAACACAUGCAAGUCGAGCGGUAGAGAGGUGCUUGCACCUCUUGAGAGCGGCGGACGGGUGAGUAAUGCCUAGGAAUCUGCCUAGUGGUGGGGGAUAACGUUCGGAAACGGACGCUAAUACCGCAUACGUCCUACGGGAGAAAGCGGGGGACCUUCGGGCCUCGCGCCAUUAGAUGAGCCUAGGUCGGAUUAGCUAGUUGGUGAGGUAAUGGCUCACCGAAGGCGACGAUCCGUAACUGGUC